UACAACUUUUGACAACGGAUCUCUUGGUUCUCCCAUCGAUGAAGAACGCAGCGAAAUGCGAUAAGUAAUGUGAAUUGCAGAAUUCAGUGAAUCAUCGAAUCUUUGAACGCACCUUGCGCCUCUGGGUAUUCUCAGAGGCAUGCCUGUUUGAGUGUCAUUA
rnacentral:rRNA from 1 species